GAGAUGGUAAUAAGGGCUGUGGAAAAAAAUGAAGCAAGAGCAGGGGCCUCAGUGUGUGUAUAUAGGUGUGGGUGUAGGUAUGUGUGUCUGUCAAGGUGUGUGGGUUGCAAUUUUAAACAGGAUGGUUGGGAAAGACCCCACUCAUACGGCACAUUUACGAAAAGUUCUGAAGGAGGUAAGGGAACAGCCACAUAUAUGCCUGUGGGAAGAGUUUUCUAAGCAGAGGAAUCAGAAAGUUCAGGGGUUUUGAUUCAGUAGCAUACCUGGUAUGUUCAAGCGAGCAGGCCAAUGUGUUGGGGGCUGGAGAGAGAGUAAUAGGAGAUGAGGUAAAGUUGUGUGUAUGUAUUGGGUGAGGGGGCACAGCUCAUGCAGAACACUGUAGAUCAUGACAAGAUCUGUGUCUUUUAUGCUGAGUUGGGGAAUUUUUUUGAAGGUUUUGUGUGCAGGAGAGAUCAGAAGAG